rnacentral:rRNA from 1 species
GACGAACGCUGGCGGCGUGCUUAACACAUGCAAGUCGAACGGUGAAGGGACUGGUUUUGCUGGUCCUGGAUGAGUGGCGAACGGGUGAGUAACACGUGAGUAACCUGCCCCCUUCUUCUGGAUAACCGCAUGAAAGUGUGGCUAAUACGGGAUAUUCUGGGUCUGUCGCAUGGUGGGCCUGGGAAAGAUUGCGCCUUUUUUGGUGUUUUUGGUGGGGGAUGGGCUCGCGGCCUAUCAGCUUGUUGGUGGGGUGAUGGCCUACCAAGGCGGUGACGGGUAGCCGGCCUGAGAGGGUGGACGGUCACACUGGGACUGAGACACGGCCCAGACUCCUACGGGAGGCAGCAGUGGGGAAUAUUGCACAAGGGGCGCAAGCCUGAUGCAGCGACGCCGCGUGAGGGAUGGAGGCCUUCGGGUUGUGAACCUCUUUCGCCAGUGAAGCAGGCCUGCCUCUUUUUGUGGGUGGGUUGACGGUAGCUGGAUAAGAAGCGCCGGCUAACUACGUG